UACGGGGGGGGCAAGCGUUGUUCGGAAUUACUGGGCGUAAAGGGCUCGUAGGUGGCCAACUAAGUCAUACGUGAAAUCCCUCGGCUUAACCGGGGAACUGCGUCUGAUACUGGAUGGCUUGAGAUUGGGAGAGGGAUGCGGAAUUCCAGGUGUAGCGGUGAAAUGCGCAGAUAUCAGGAGGAACACCGGUGGCGAAGGCGGGUCUCUGGGCCGUAACUGACGCUGAGGAGCGAAAGCAUGGGGAGCGAACAGG
rnacentral:rRNA from 1 species